ACGUAGGGGGCAAGCGUUAUCCGGAUUUACUGGGUGUAAAGGGAGCGUAGACGGCGACGCAAGUCUGAAGUGAAAUACCCGGGCUCAACCUGGGAACUGCUUUGGAAACUGUGUUGCUAGAGUGCUGGAGAGGUAAGCGGAAUUCCUAGUGUAGCGGUGAAAUGCGUAGAUAUUAGGAAGAACACCAGUGGCGAAGGCGGCUUACUGGACAGUAACUGACGUUGAGGCUCGAAAGUGUGGGGAGCAAACAG
rnacentral:rRNA from 1 species